rnacentral:rRNA from 1 species
UACGUAGGUGGCAAGCGUUGUCCGGAAUUAUUGGGCGUAAAGCGCGCGCAGGCGGCCUCUUAAGUCUGAUGUGAAAGCCCCCGGCUCAACCGGGGAGGGCCAUUGGAAACUGGGAGGCUUGAGUAUAGGAGAGAAGAGUGGAAUUCCACGUGUAGCGGUGAAAUGCGUAGAGAUGUGGAGGAACACCAGUGGCGAAGGCGACUCUUUGGCCUAUAACUGACGCUGAGGCGCGAAAGCGUGGGGAGCAAACAGGAUAGAUACCC